rnacentral:rRNA from 1 species
AUGGCUGCCAAUCUCAAGCUCGCCGCCUUGUGCCUCCUCCUCCUCGUCUCCUCUCUCCCUUUGCUCGCCCGCGCCGAGUGCGAGUGCGAGGCCGGCGAGGAGGAGCACGACAAGGCGGGCGCGCUAAAGCUCAAGAUCAUCGCCAUCUUCUGUAUCCUCGUGGCCAGCGCCGCGGGUUGCGCCAUCCCCUCGCUCGGCCGGAAGUUCCCGGCGCUGAGCCCGGACAAGGACCUGUUCUUCGCCAUCAAGGCCUUCGCGGCGGGGGUUAUUCUCGCCACGGCCUUCGUGCACAUCCUCCCGGAGGCCUUCGAGCGGCUCGGCUCGCCGUGCCUCGUCGACGGGCCGUGGCAGAAGUUCCCGUUCGCCGGAUUCGUCGCCAUGCUCGCGGCCAUCGCCACCCUUAUCGUCGACACCAUUGCCACGGGAUACUUCCAGCGCGCGCACGCCAAGAAUACAUCCGCGGCCGUCGGGUACGUGGAGGCCUCCGACUCCGAGCAGGCGCACGGUGGGCACUCCCACGGCGUGUCCGCCGUCAUCGCGUCGUCAUUCUCCGACGACGGCGCGAAGCUCAUCCGUCACCGCGUCAUCUCGCAGGUGCUGGAGCUGGGGAUCAUAGUGCACUCGGUAAUCAUCGGCAUGUCUUUGGGUGCAUCUGAGAAUGCCAGCACGAUCAAACCACUCGUGGUCGCGCUAACUUUUCAUCAAUUCUUCGAAGGGAUAGGGCUGGGAGGAUGCAUCGUUCAGGCUAGGUUUCGCCUCAAGUCUGUCUUGAUGAUGGCGCUCUUCUUCUCACUCACGCUGCCAGUUGGUGUCGUGAUCGGCAUCGGGAUAUCCUCUGCUUACGACGAAAAUAGCCCUAGGGCCCUAAUCGUGGAAGGACUCCUCAGCGCUGCCGCCGCUGGAAUUCUGAUCUACAUGGCGCUCGUCGACCUUCUAGCGGAAGACUUCAUGAAUCCUAGGGUGCAGAACAACGGAAGGUUGCAGGUCAUCAUUAACAUCUCCUUGCUGGUUGGGACGGGUCUCAUGUCCAUGCUUGCUGUAUGGGCAUGA